rnacentral:tRNA from 2 species
GCCUUGGUAGCUCAGUUGGUAGAGCAGCAGACUGAAAAUCUGCCUGUCGGUGGUUCAAUUCCGCCCCAAGGCACCA